rnacentral:tRNA from 1 species
CGGGGUGUAGCGCAGAUGGUAGCGCGCAUGGUUCGGGACCAUGAGGCCGCGAGUUCAAGUCUCGCCACUCCGA